rnacentral:tRNA from 1 species
GGGGUUGUGGCUCAGUGGUAGAGCGCUUACCUUGAACAUGUGAGGCACUGAGUUCAAUCCUCAGCACCA